GUAAUGGCGCUCACUCGCAGGUCGUUAGUAGUACACCUUCACAGCUUACUCUCGACAGCGCGUGCGCACGUUGUGGCGCUGCCGCUUGACGAGAUGCUGAAGCGCCGGUGAAACGGGUAUGCCGCGGAGUGCCUUGGGGACGUUGCGGUCGUGCCUCUUCGGUGGGAACGUAGUACUUGACUGUCGGGACCCGCUUCUUGGGUCGGCAACAGCGACAGUGACGGUGACGCUGAGGAAGUCGCGGUGCGCAUCGCUGACGAGAACAUACAUUGCCUCAAGGUGUGGUUUCUAGCUUCCAGUGUGCGCCUUGACAAGGGCGGUGAUCGGGGUGCUCGUCUUGUGAGCAAUCAGUCGACGAUGCUUCUGUUUCAUGCAGGGACUGCAGCAGACCGAGGCGGCGCAACAAGUCAUGUGGACGCUGGGGCGCAGCUACGCAAAGCAGAUGGCUCCUGGCACUCAUGACGGACAUUGGUCGGCGCUUGAAGAAGUCGUGAGGCAGAUGCGAGAUGCGGAAGCGUCUUUCGUACAGCUGUUCAUGGUAUCAUCGGCGAAGCUCUUGCAUGAAGCGCUUCGCAUCUCAGCGCGCGUGGGGCCCGCGCUAGCGGAUACCGGCUGUUGGUUGGAUGUCGGCGCGUUUUGAUUUGACAAUGCUGCUGCUCUCUCGGUCUUUCUGUUCUUCUGCUUGUCUGUGUGCUUUCCUGUUCAGCGGUGCCGCGAAGAAAGGAUUCAACUGUGAUCUCAAGAGGGCAAAGGUGACAGGAGAAACGGCAAAGGAGGGGGCAGAGGCCUAGCCGAGAGGGUGUCUUGGCCGCAGUGGGGAGGCCCUUUGGUUAUUGCUGCUCCCCACUAUUCUUUGAACUUCGUAAACGUUCUAGCGAGGUCCUCGUGACGGCGUUUCUCCGCAUUGUACUGAUCUGGAAACGGCCUUUAGUUCAGUACUUCUUGUGUGCUUGCAAGGGCGCAUCACGCACGAAGGAUCAACAAGAGAAGCGUCCUGAAGCAACGCUGAUAGGUGAAACUGAGCUUCGGUUCUUUGCUGACCUUUUAGCCAUUGUGAGCUUGUUCCUGAGCCCGGCAUCUCGUUCUCCUUGCCCGCGCUCGCUGACGUCAACGCACAGUUUCUACUCCCGUCUCUCUCUCUGUCCGCUUCUUUCUCUUCGCCUCUCCUUCUGCGUUCCAUGCGCGCGCCUAUCGUCCUUACUUUCACCUGUCGCUGUGCUUUGUGGAACAACUGAACACGUCGACUCUGCGCCCCUCCCCUCCCCCGACCUCACUUUCGCGGUGCAG
rnacentral:misc_RNA from 1 species